GAUGAAGAACGUAGCGAAAGGCGAUACGUAAUGUGAAUUGCAAAUUCAGUGAAUCAUCGAGUCUUUGAACGCACAUUGCGCCCCCUGGUAUUCCGGGGGGCAUGCCUGUCCGAGCGUCAUUGCUGCCCUCAAGCACGGCUUGUGUGUUGGGCCCCGUCCUCCGAUCCCGGGGGACGGGCCCGAAAGGCAGCGGCGGCACCGCGUCCGGUCCUCGAGCGUAUGGGGCUUUGUCACCCGCUCUGUAGGCCCGGCCGGCGCUUGCCGAUCAACCCAAAUUUUUAUCCAGGUUGACCUCGGAUCAGGUAGGGAUACCCGCUGAACUUAAGCAUAUCAAUAAGCGGAGGA
rnacentral:misc_RNA from 1 species